CCUACGGGCGGCAGCAGUGGGGAAUAUUGCACAAUGGGGGAAACCCUGAUGCAGCGACGCCGCGUGAGUGAAGAAGUAUUUCGGUAUGUAAAGCUCUGUCAGCAGGGAAGAAAAUGACGGUACCUGACCAAGAAGCCCCGGCUAACUACGUGCCAGCAGCCGCGGUGAUACGUAGGGGGCAAGCGUUAUCCGGAUUUACUGGGUGUAAAGGGAGCGUAGACGGCAGGGCAAGUCUGGAGUGAAAGGCGGGGGCUCAACCCCCGGACUGCUCUGGAAACUGCCAGGCUGGAGUGCAGGAGAGGUAAGUGGAAUUCCUAGGGUAGCGGGUAAAUGCGUAGAUAUUAGGAGGAACACCAGUGGCGAAGGCGGCUUACUAAACUAUAACUGACACUGAAGCACGAAAGCGUGGGGAUCAAACAGGAUUAGAUACCCGGGUAGUC
rnacentral:rRNA from 1 species